rnacentral:rRNA from 1 species
AUUGAACGCUGGCGGCAGGCCUAACACAUGCAAGUCGAACGAGUGGCGGACGGGUGAGUAAUGUCUGGGAAACUGCCUGAUGGAGGGGGAUCACUACUGGACACGGUAGCUAAUACCGCAUACCAUCGGAUGUGCCCCGAUGGGAUUAGCUAGUAGGUGGGGUAACGGCUCACCUAGGCGACGAUCCCUAGCUGGUCUGAGAGGAUGACCAGCAACACUGGAACUGAGACACGGUCCAGACUCCUACGGUAGGCAGCAGUGGGGAAGAUUGCACAAUGGGCGCAAGCCUGAUGCAGCCAUGCCGCGUGUAUGAAGAAGGCCUUCGGGUUGUAAAGUACUUUCAGCGGGGAGGCGUUACCCGCAGAAGAAGCACCGACUAACUCCGUGCCAGCAGCCGCGGUAAUAC